rnacentral:tRNA from 16 species
ACGUAGUGCAGUGCGUAGCACAUCGGGCUGCUGUUCCGAAGGUCCUGGGUUCGAACCCCA